UUCGCCGGUGAGGUCCAUUCCCCAUCGCAUUGACCAGCAAGAACGGCCCGUCCCCCAUGGCCGGCGUCUUCGACCUGCCUACUACGAGUGGUUUCAGUUCGCUGGCGAGGUCCGUUCCCCAUCGCAUUGACCAGCAAGUAGCAACGCUGGCUGCUGACAAGUUUCCUCUCCGCUGCUUCAGAUCUGGGAGGACAUGAUCCCGUCGAGUGCAAGAACUUGGAUAGGUGCUUCUCCUACCUCGAGGAGCUGAUGAUCAGCCGGGCUGCUAGGAUUCUCCUAGGUGUUUGAUUACUUUCCCGUUACUAAUUCCCCGUGCAUGGUGCAUGAUAACUCCUCCGCCAUUGAUGGGUAAAUGACCGUGGUGGAUGCCAAAUUCUUACCAGGGCGUCGUCGUAUCUACAGUGCUUGCAGGGCUCCAGGAAUAGGUAAAAUGAGUUGUGGCGUUUGGUACCAGGUGUGGUAAAAUGAGCAAAAUGUUCAGCGGGUUGUGCGAUGUCUGUUGCUUGUCAUGGUUGCUACUGUCAUAGCUUGAUUUUGCAAACUCAUCUCCGCGUUUUCCGGCAGGGGUUGGCCUUCACUGGGUUGCUAAG
rnacentral:lncRNA from 1 species